rnacentral:rRNA from 1 species
GCGUACCUGCGGAGGGAUCAUUACACAAAUAUGAAGGCGGGCUGGAACCUCUCGGGGUUACAGCCUUGCUGAAUUAUUCACCCUUGUCUUUUGCGUACUUCUUGUUUCCUUGGUGGGUUCGCCCACCACUAGGACAAACAUAAACCUUUUGUAAUUGCAAUCAGCGUCAGUAACAAAUUAAUAAUUACAACUUUCAACAACGGAUCUCUUGGUUCUGGCAUCGAUGAAGAACGCAGCGAAAUGCGAUAAGUAGUGUGAAUUGCAGAAUUCAGUGAAUCAUCGAAUCUUUGAACGCACAUUGCGCCCUUUGGUAUUCCAAAGGGCAUGCCUGUUCGAGCGUCAUUUGUACCCUCAAGCUUUGCUUGGUGUUGGGCGUCUUGUCUCUAGCUUUGCUGGAGACUCGCCUUAAAGUAAUUGGCAGCCGGCCUACUGGUUUCGGAGCGCAGCACAAGUCGCACUCUCUAUCAGCAAAGGUCUAGCAUCCAUUAAGCCUUUUUUUCAACUUUGACCUCGGAUCAGUAGGAGCCAGUCC